UUAAGCGUGCUUGGGCGAGAGUAGUACUAGGAUUGGUGACCUCCUGGGAAGUCCUCGUGUUGCACACC
rnacentral:rRNA from 1 species